rnacentral:tRNA from 1 species
UACUUUUUGGUGUAUGAUGCACAGAAAUUUUUGAUGUUUUAGGAAUAGUUUAAUUCUAUAAAAAGUAA